CACAGAACACUUAAGCUGGUGCAAUCACAAGGUGUAAACUGUAAGGGCACUUAGCACGUAGGGCACAUGCACUUUUGGAAAUGUCAGCAGGACAGUAAAUGGAGCACCUGAAGUACAGAGGACGUGUGUAUGCAACUUCUUUUCUUUAAUGACAUAUCUGGAAUAUAUGGUGUUUCUUCAACUUCAGGCACUCUCAUGUCACAGUGUGCUAACACGGCAACCUCCACCACCCCGCCACCACCAGUUGAGUCCCAUCCUGCACGGGGGUAGGCUCCUUGCCCAUGGCUCCCAUCUCCAGCAGGAUAUGACGGUUCCGAGUACAACUUCUUCGGACCGCCAGACAGGGCUUACGCCAAAGAGAGACAUUAUAUUUCUGUUUUAUAUUCAUCAAAUAAAUGUCAUCUUAAAUUUCA